rnacentral:tRNA from 1 species
GGGAGGUAGCCCCGUGGUAGAGUGCUGGCCUGGUAUUUGCAAGGGCCUGGGUUUGAUCCCCAGCCCACA